GAUGAAGAACGCAGCGAAAUGCGAUAAGUAAUGUGAAUUGCAGAAUCCAGUGAAUCAUCGAAUCUUUGAACGCACAUUGCGCCCGCCAGUAUUCUGGCGGGCAUGCCUGUUCGAGCGUCAUUUCAACCAUCAAGCCCCAGGCUUGUGUUGGGGUCCUGCGGCUGCCGCAGGCCCUGAAAAACAGUGGCGGGCUCGCUGUCACACCGAGCGUAGUAAUACAUCUCGCUUUGGACGUGCGGCGGGUUCUUGCCGUUAAACACCCCCCUUCUCAAGGUUGACCUCGGAUCAGGUAGGAAUACCCGCUGAACUUAAGCAUAUCAAUAAGCGGAGGA
rnacentral:misc_RNA from 1 species